UAUUGAGCAAUGGGCGCAAGCCUGACCCAGCGACGCCGCGUGAGGGAUGAAGGUCUUCGGAUUGUAAACCUCUUUCAGUGGGGAAGAAGCGAAAGUGACGGUACCCAAAGAAGAAGCACCGGCUAACUAUGUGCCAGCAGCCGCGGUAAUACAUAGGGUGCAAGCGUUGUCCGGAAUUAUUGGGCGUAAAGAGCUCGUAGGUGGUUUAUCACGUCGGAUGUGAAAUUCUGAGGCUCAACCUCGGACCUGCAUUCGAUACGGGCAAACUAGAGUGUGGUAGGGGAGACUGGAAUUCCUGGUGUAGCGGUGGAAUGCGCAGAUAUCAGGAGGAACACCAAUGGCGAAGGCAGGUCUCUGGGCCAUUACUGACACUGAGGAGCGAAAGCGCGGGGAGCGAACAGGAUUAGAUACCCUGGUAGUCCGCGCCGUAAACGGUGGGCACUAGUUGUGGGAACCUUCCACGGUUUCCGCGACGCAGCUAACGCAUUAAGUGCCCCGCCUGGGGAGUACGAUCGCAAGAUUAAAACUCAAAGGAAUUGACGGGGCCCCGCACAAGCAGCGGAGCAUGCGGCUUAAUUCGACGCAACGCGAAGAACCUUACCAAGGCUUGACAUAUAGAGAAAAGUGGCAGAGAUGUCAUGUCCGCAAGGGCUCUAUACAGGUGGUGCAUGGUUGUCGUCAGCUCGUGUCGUGAGAUGUUGGGUUAAGUCCCGCAACGAGCGCAACCCUCGUUCUGUGUUGCCAGCAUUUAGUUGGGGACUCACAGGAGACUGCCGGGGUCAACUCGGAGGAAGGU
rnacentral:rRNA from 1 species